CGUCCCGCGCGCGACUGCGGAACAGGUUUCCAGCCUGCGGGAACCCAGCGGGCGACGAAGAAUGAGACAGGCCCUCAGAUUGGAUGCCGCAGCCGCGGUCGAUGUAACUCCCUUUCCGAUUGGUUGGAUUCAGAAUCUCUUCAUUAUGAGCUCUCAAACCAGUGCAGCUUAGUUGUGGGAGAAGGAUUGGAAACUUAACACUGAACACGCUGUCCAAUCUGCCAGGCUUUGAGGCUUCACACAUACUUUUUUCAUUUACACUUUCCACCAACACUUUGAAGAAGGUGUUAUUUCCAUUUUUACAAAUAAGGAAAUCAAGCUUCAGAAAAGCAUGAACCACACUUAUAAUGGGAAGAAAUCACCGUAAUAUAAAAGCACAGCCAUCUUUGGUGCCACAGCAGGAACCUGAGAGGCUCAAAAUGACAGAGGUACUCAUUUCCAGGCAAACAAGCCAACUUGUUUUAUACAAAGUGCUACAGGAGACCCAGCUUAUUCCUGCAAGAGUUUAUAAUAUAGUAAGAGAAUUGAUGCUUUUGAACUGUGAUGUUGGAGAAGACUCUUGAGAGUCCCUUGGACUGCAAGGAGAUCCAACCAGUCCAUCCUAAAGGAGAUCAGU